rnacentral:rRNA from 1 species
CGGGACGGGUGACGUAACGCGUGGGCAACCUGCCCUUAUCUGGGGGAUAACAGUUGGAAACGACUGAUAAUACCGCAUAAUAUGGUUUGAAGGCAUCUUCUUUCCAUCAAAGAUUUAUCGGAUAAGGAUGGGCCCGCGUCUGAUUAGCUUGUUGGUGAGGUAACGGCUCACCAAGGCGACGAUCAGUAGCCGACCUGAGAGGGUGAUCGGCCACAUUGGAACUGAGACACGGUCCAAACUCCUACGGGAGGCAGCAG